GUACACGCUGUGACUAGCAUAUCAAUAAGCGGAGGAAAAGAAACUAACAAGGAUUCCCCUAGUAACGGCGAGUGAAGCGGGAAGAGCUCAAAUUUGAAAUCUUAAAGGGUUUCCCUUUACGAAUUGUAGUUUAAAGAAGUGUUUUCUGUUGAGGUUUUGGUAAAAGUUCUUUGGAAUAGGACAUCAUAGAGGGUGAGAAUCCCGUAUUUGACCUUUACUUUCAACUUUGUGAUACACUUUCGAAGAGUCGGAUUGUUUGGGAAUGCAGUCCAAAAUGGGUGGUAAAUUUCAUCUAAAGCUAAAUAUUGGCGAGAGACCGAUAGCGAACAAGUACCGUGAGGGAAAGAUGAAAAGAACUUUGAAAAGAGAGUUAAACAGUACGUGAAAUUGUCAAAAGGGAAGCGUUUGACACCAGUGUUGUUUUUCUGAAAAUCAAUUAAAGAACUGUUUAUGCUAAGUUGUUUAGACUUUAUCAGCUAUCUGUUUAGUUUUGAGCUUUUCUUUAAUGCACUUUUCAGUUGAACAAGUCAACAUCAAUUUCUUUUGCUGUAAAAAAGCUUGAGGAAGGUGGCUUGAGAUUCGUCUUAAGUGUUUAUAGCCUCUUGCCUAUGCAGUCGGAGAGAUUGAGGUCUGCAGCGUAGAUCCUUCGGGGCUAAAUGCAUUUGUGCUAAGUUAUAGCAUUUUAUAGACAACUUGUUGACUAUGAUUUGUCUUGUAGCUUACUCGCUUAUGUUAUUUUACCUACGCUUAGGAUGUUGACGCGCGUGUGUGCGUG
rnacentral:rRNA from 1 species